CUUUUUUUUUUUUAACUAGCGGAGCCAUUCUUUGGCUUCCUUCAGUAUUCUGUCUGUUCUAGAAUUGCUUUGUUUUGUUCAGACAGGGUCUCAUGUAGCCCUGGCUGAUCUCAAAAUUGCUAUGUAGCCAAAGAUGACCCUGAACUUUUGAUCUCCCUCCCCCCCUGAGUGCUGGAAUGACCAGCUUGCACCAGCACACCCAGUUUACCAGCACAAGGCGUGGAAUCCGGGCAUCAGGCAGGCAUGCUUGGCUGUCCAGCAGAUCAAAGGACACAAGAUACAACACCAGGAAAUAAGUCUGACCUGCGCAAGCAGCAAGCAGCAAGCAGCAAGCAGCAAGCAGCAAGAAGCACACAAGGCUGUGAUUUGCGACAUGCUAGAUGAGUUGGUUACCUGUUAUUCUUCCUGCUUUCCUCUUAAAGAUUGCUUGUAUCGUAUGCCUUCGUCUCAUUUUAAAAAGCUGCCUAUGAGCACAUACUGCAUAUCAGAUUUUCAUUGGAACUUGAAAAGCCACCCACAGACUUCUGUUUUCCCCGAUACUGCUUUUCACUGAACUUAUCACAUCAACAUUGCAUGAUAACAUCAUUUCCUGUCUUCUCCUGUGAAUACAGAAGCUUUGGGACAGCCAUGCUUUCAACGGAAUGAAAUCUCAUAAGUUAAAAUGAACAAUUGUUUGAUUUCUGUAAGUGAGCAGUAUCCACAGGCAACAAGAUGUGGACGCUUCAGGUAGAGAAUUUGCUCACGGAUAUCAAGUGCCUGCUACACAGUAGAUGCUCAAUAAAUGUUCGCUGGGUGAGGUCA
rnacentral:lncRNA from 1 species